rnacentral:rRNA from 1 species
GACGAACGCUGGCGGCGUGCUUAACACAUGCAAGUCGAACGGUAAGGCCCUUCGGGGUACACGAGUGGCGAGCGGGUGAGUAACACGUGGGUGAUCUGCCCUGCACUUCGGGAUAAGCCUGGGAAACUGGGUCUAAUACCGGAUAGGACCACUGCCUGCAUGGGUGGUGGUGGAAAGCUUUUGCGGUGUGGGAUGGGCCCGCGGCCUACCAGCUUGUUGGUGGGGUGAUGGCCUACCAAGGCGACGACGGGUAGCCGGCCUGAGAGGGUGACCGGCCACACUGGGACUGGGAUACGGCCCAGACUCCUGCGGGAGGCAGCAGUGGGGAAUAUUGCACAAUGGGCGCAAGCCUGAUGCAGCGACGCCGCGUGAGGGAUGACGGCCUUCGGGUUGUAAACCUCUUUCAGCACCGACGAAGCGCAAGUGACGGUAGGUGCAGAAGAAGGACCGGCCAACUACGUGCCAGCCGCCGCAGUAA